rnacentral:rRNA from 1 species
GAUGAACGCUAGCGGCAGGCUUAACACAUGCAAGUCGAGGGGCAGCGUGGAGCAGCAAUGCUCUGACGGCGACCGGCGGAAGGGUGCGUAACACGUGAGCGACUUGCCCGUCACAGGGGGAUAACCGGCGGAAACGGCGACUAAUACCCCAUAUGAUGCGAUGCUGCAUGGCAUUGCAUUGAAAGAUUCAUCGGUGGCGGAUAGGCUCGCGGGACAUUAGCUAGACGGCGGGGCAACGGCCCACCGUGGCGACGAUGUCUAGGGGUUCUGAGAGGAAGGUCCCCCACAUUGGAACUGAGACACGGUCCAAACUCCUACGGGAGGCAGCAGUGAGGAAUAUUGGUCAAUGGACGAGAGUCUGAACCAGCCAAGUAGCGUGCAGGAUGACGGCCCUAUGGGUUGUAAACUGCUUUUAUAAGGGAUAAAGUGAGUCUCGUGAGGCUUUUUGC